rnacentral:rRNA from 1 species
CUUAACACAUGCAAGUCGUGCGAGAAAGGGAGCAAUCCCCGGUAAAGCGGCGCACGGGUGAGUAACACGUAGGUAACGUGCCCCCAGGUGGUGGAUAACCUUCCGAAAGGAGGGCUAAUACAGCAUAAGACCACGGCUCCGAAAGGGGGCUGAGGUCAAAGUCGGCCUCUAUUCAUAAGCUGACGCCAGGGGAUCGGCCUGCGGCCCAUCAGGUAGUUGGUAGGGUAACGGCCUACCAAGCCAAAGACGGGUAGCUGGUCUGAGAGGAUGGUCAACCACAUUGGAAUUGAAAAAAGGUCCAAACGUAUUUAUGCGGCAGCAGUGAGGAAUAUUGGACAAUGCGCGGAUAGCGUGAUCCAGCAAUAUUGCGUGAGUGGUAAGAUGUUAAUUGUAAAGCUCUGUCGACAAUGAUUAUAAUGAAAUUAGUUGUAUAGGAAGUUCCGACUAACUUCGUGCCAGCAGUCGCGGUAAUACGGGGGGAACGAGUGUUAUUCAAAAUAACUGGGCG